GUCCAAAUCUCUUUAGUUUUCAAAAUCAGAUAAGGUCAGCAAAGGGUUACAACUUGCUGAGGUUCUUAUAUUUAAGUAGUACUUAAAAGAAACAUACUUGAAACUUGUUUUAACAAUGAUUCAGAAGAAAUACUUCAUAAUAAGCAUAAUCACGAAUGGAGCAUUUUUCUAUUCUUUAUUAAAGCAACUCAUUUUUAUUCCAGGAUACCAUAAGACCCGAAAGGGAGAAAAUAUAUGGCUAUUUUAAGAACUGUAUUAAAUUUAAGAUGAGUUUUUAAAUCAGCUUCCUUUUUUUAAAGCACAA